UACGAAGGGGGCUAGCGUUGUUCGGAAUUACUGGGCGUAAAGCGCACGUAGGCGGAUUGUUAAGUCAGGGGUGAAAUCCUGGAGCUCAACUCCAGAACUGCCUUUGAUACUGGGGAUCUCGAGUCCGGAAGAGGUGAGUGGAACUCCGAGUGUAGAGGUGAAAUUCGUAGAUAUUCGCAAGAACACCAGUGGCGAAGGCGGCUGACUGGUCCGGUUCUGACGCUGAGGCGCGAAAGCGUGGGGAGCAAACAGG
rnacentral:rRNA from 1 species